AAAACAUCGUUGUUAUUCAACUACAAGAAC
rnacentral:tRNA from 1 species